AUAUCUGUAUUGAAAGUGAAAAGUGGAAGGAAUAGAUUUCCAAAUUCAACCACUGGUACUCAAAUUAAAUUAGCUAAGCUCGUUUAAAUACGACAUAUUUAGCGGCCAGCAGACUAAGCAAACAACAAACAUGUGCGGCGGUUUCACCUGCUCGAAGAACGCGCUAAUUGCGCUCAACAUUUUGUAUGUGAUGAUUGGAUUCCUGCUGAUUGGAGUGGGCGUGUACGCGCGUGCCGCCUCCAUCGUGACCAACCUGCCGAUUGUGGGCGGGAUCCUGGCCUGCGGCGUCAUCCUCAUCUGCAUAUCCAUGCUGGGACUGGCGGGAGCCGUCAAGCACCACCAAGUGAUGCUCUUCUUCUACAUGAUCAUUCUGUUCAUGCUGUUCCUGAUCCAGUUCUCCAUUGCCAGUUCCUGUUUGGCCGUCAAUUCCGAGCAGCAGCAGCAGUUCGCCGAGCAGGGAUGGAUGACAGUGCCCACGGAUAUGCGCAAGCAAGUGCAGGACAGCCUGAAAUGCUGCGGAUUCAACGCCACUGGACCGAGCACAACCUCCGUGGUGCCGCCGCCGGAUGAGCCCUCGUGCGAGCUGAUCAACCAGCAGUGCUGUGCCCACUCCACCGAGGCGGACUGUCGUUGCGAACCCUGCGGACCCCUGCUGGAGGACAAGAUCGACUACGCCUUCAAGCUGUGCGGUGGCCUGGGCAUCUUCUUCAGCUUCACUGAGUUUGUUGGCGUCUGGCUAACAGUUCGCUAUCGCAAUCAAAAGGAUCCGCGCGGCUUGCCCAGCGCCUUUCUCUAAAUUACACGCUAGGCGAGAACAAGAUAAACAUUUCCCAGAUACAGAAACAUCCAAAAGUUAUUUAGUGCAUGUAUCUCUGCUCUGUCUCUGCUAAAUGUUUUGGUGUUGCGAUGGAGGAUUUCAUGAGCUCUUGGGGCCCACAUACCAUAUAUAUACAAGCAUCCUUUAUAUUUAUACCAUCUACAGAUACAUAUAUACACAUAUAUAUUUAAUCACAUUGCCGCAGAACUAUGUACGUAAUGUGUUAGGUCGUAAUUGAUAUACAACUUUAGACAUAUAUACAUAUUAUAGAGAGAUAUAUAUAGAAGAGGAGAGAGCUACGCGUUUAACCCCUUUAAGAACCCGAAAGCAAGCAAUCAGCAAAGAAACAUAUUUCCUUUUACUCUCAACACACUUCCUUUAAAACUUCCCCCAAAAAAAAAACAUUGUACUUACACUUGACUGCCUGCUCUUUGACUAAGCAUAAAUCCAACAAGUGGCCAAGGGUCUUGGCCGUAUUUCUGGCGCGUCGCUACCGCAAUCAACACGACCCCUGCUAUCUGCCCGCCCGCGCCGUUUUUCCACACGAUUAUCUAUAUUGAACGGACUGAAAACUGAAAAGGGCUGAAAACCACAUCAUGGAAGUGAAACAUUUUAGUCAAAGGGACGAAGGCUGAAUUCUUAAUUUUACAAUCGCGUUUCCUAGCGAGAAUCGAAUGCAAACUCGAACAAGAGAUUACGCUCCGGAGGAGGAGAAAGCAUAGGAGAAGUAAUUAUUGUGCUCAACACUGCUGCUUCAUAAGAAAAACAUUAUUUUACCAUUCAAUCUGCUUUAAUUGCACAAAGUUAUUUAACUAUAAAACCUCCAUUGAGAUUAUGUUUAGAUGUAAUAUUGUAAUUUAAGUUCAUCUCCUCGAAACACCUUAGUUAGCUCUUAAUGCCUUUCUUUGCAACUCGCAACAAUCAUGAACGACUCGACGUGACUCGACUUUAAACUACUGUACCACUACGAGACAAACAUUUCAACAACCUGAUCUUACUGUAGAACUACAACCAAGUCAACAAUUGUAACUAGCAACGUAAUAAGUAUACAUCAACCUAUAUACAAAACGUAAUUGCAUUAUUGCCCUCAAGGCGUAUAAACAAUACUCUAAAUGUUAGUUGUGUGUUAAACUUUAAACUAGCGAGAAAAAGCCCACAAAAUAACAAAAAAAAAGAAAAGGGUAACCCUCUAAGCAUACAUGUCAACAAUUAUACAAGUCUAUAUGGAUAAGAGAACUGCUUCUUUGAAUUUUUCACUCCUUUUCCGCACUUGCUCGACUUUCUCUGCAGCUUUUCCUUCUUGACUUUCACCCCGCAAAAAGCCACCAAGAACAAAAACAAACACAUCACACCCAACACGCUUCUUCCUCUAAGCACACAUCACACUCACAAGGAAAUAGUUUUCCCUGCCGUUUCCUUUCCAGUUUCUUUUCGAGCGACAAAUAAACCAUUAGAUAAUAUUCUCUGUAUUCUGUGCUGUGAUUGAAGUAAAUAUGAUCUUUAAACAACAAAGGAAAAAAG